rnacentral:rRNA from 1 species
UACGAAGGGUGCAAGCGUUACUCGGAAUUACUGGGCGUAAAGCGUGCGUAGGUGGUUCGUUAAGUCUGAUGUGAAAGCCCUGGGCUCAACCUGGGAAUGGCAUUGGAUACUGGCGACCUAGAGUGCGGUAGAGGGGUAUGGAAUUCCCGGUGUAGCAGUGAAAUGCGUAGAUAUCGGGAGGAACAUCUGUGGCGAAGGCGACACCCUGGACCAGCACUGACACUGAGGCACGAAAGCGUGGGGAGCAAACAGG